GUAUCCUGGCUCAGGAUGAACGCUAGCUACAGGCUUAACACAUGCAAGUCGAGGGGCGAGCAUGAACUUAGCUUGCUAAGUUUGAUGGCGACCGGCGCACGGGUGAGUAACACGUAUCCAACCUGCCGAUGACUCGGGGAUAGCCUUUCGAAGAAAGAUUAAUACCCGAUGGCAUAGUUCUUCCGCAUGGUAGAACCUAUUAAAGGAUUUCGGUCAUCGAUGGGGAUGCGUUCCAUUAGGUUGG
rnacentral:rRNA from 1 species